UACGUAGGGUGCAAGCGUUGUCCGGAAUUCUUGGGCGUAAAGAGCUCGUAGGCGGUUUGUCGCGUCUGCUGUGAAAACGCGAGGCUCAACCUCGCGCCUGCAGUGGGUACGGGCAGACGAGAGUGCGGUAGGGGAGAUUGGAAUUCCUGGUGUAGCGGUGGAAUGCGCAGAUAUCAGGAGGAACACCGGUGGCGAAGGCAGAUCUCUGGGCCGUAACUGGCGCUGAGGAGCGAAAGCGUGGGGAGCGAACAGG
rnacentral:misc_RNA from 1 species